rfam:Arabidopsis thaliana chromosome 5, complete sequence.
UGAAGAAUGUGAUGAAAGUUGUCGAUUAUGUGUGAUGAUUCUUUAGAUUCAAUUGAUCGAUAAAAACUUCAAUUCGCUACGUUCUUUCUGAUUCUUCA